rnacentral:rRNA from 1 species
AUACGUAGGUGGCGAGCGUUGUCCGGAAUUACUGGGCGUAAAGGAUGCGUAGGUGGAUAUUUAAGUGGGAUGUGAAAUCCCCGGGCUCAACCCGGGAACUGCAUUCCAAACUGGGUAUCUAGAGUGCAGGAGAGGAAAGCGGAAUUCCUAGUGUAGCGGUGAAAUGCGUAGAUAUUAGGAGGAACACCAGUGGCGAAGGCGGCUUUCUGGACUGUAACUUACCCAGAGGCAUGAAAGCGUGGGUAGCAAACAGUAUUAGAGACCCUGGUAGUCCACGCCGUAAACGAUGUGUACUAGGUGUAGGAGGUAUCGACCCCUUCUGUGCCGUCGUUAACACAAUAAGUACCCCGCCUGGGGAGUACGGUCGCAAGACUAAAACUCAAAGGAAUUGACGGGG